UUGCUUCAGCGGCACAUACACUAAAAUCGGAACAAUAAUACAGAAAUUAGCAUGGCCUCUGUGUAAAGAUGACAUGCAAAUUUGUGAAGCAUUCCAAAUUUUU